rnacentral:rRNA from 1 species
UACGUAGGGUGCGAGCGUUGUCCGGAAUUAUUGGGCGGAAAGAGCUCGUAGGCGGUUUGUUGCGUCGGCUGUGAAAUCCCGAGGCUCAACCUCGGGUCUGCAGUCGAUACGAGCAAACUAGAGUGUUGCAGGGGAGACUGGAAUUCCUGGUGUAGCGGUGAAAUGCGCAGAUAUCAGGAGGAACGCCGGUGGCGAAAGCGGCGUGCUGGACCUCUUCUGACGCUGAGUCGCGAAAG